CAAUGGGUAGCAAUGGUUGUAUAUAUAUUUUGUGAUUUUCGAUGCUUGAGAUACGGCAUUACUAACUUCGUCAAGCUUAUCAAUAUCAUAAAACAUUAGAUUAAUGCAAUGAGCUGCACAUGAUAACCAAAAUAAUGUUUGAAACUCUCACUCUAAUAACCUACCAGUGGCAACAUAGUUUGCAGUGUUGUCCGUCACCAUAUGAACCACAUAUUCAAGACCUACAAAUAACACAACAUCUCGGAAUAACUUGUAUAACAGCACUUUUUGAUUCAUCUGAAGCAUCUACAGAUUUUAAGAAUACUGUUCCUUUUGGACAAUAAACUAAAAAAUUAAUAAGAGUUCAUUUACAUUGAUUUGUCCAACCAUCUACCAUAAUUGUACAACCAGUCGUCUUCCAUGUUGAACGAUAGCUUUUAACAUAAUUCUGUACCUCUUCAACAUUUUUAGCCAACAAAUAACUACGAAGACUGUGAAAGUUCGGACCUUUAUAGCCAGGGUCUAUGCUAGCUAUAACAUCUAUACUUUGUUGAUAAUACACAGAAUUCACAGCAUUGAAAGAAAUACACGAAUCAAUCAUCCAUUUCGAUAUAGUGAGAUCACAUUUCUCUGUAGCUUCUUUGCUUUGAAGAACACUUUUAAUAGUAGGUUGAUUACCAGGUCCUAUUCUUGGCAUGAAGUAAGAACUAAUUCCUUUUCCUUUUCCUUUUCUUUGACUUUUCUCAAUAGUUAUAUCAUUUCCUUUAGAAUUAGGAGGGAUGAUCUCUUGCAUAUCAUCACCCAGAUCUCUAUACAUUUGCUCUUCUUGUUCCCAAUAAUAAGAGCUAUGUAGGUUACACUCAUCAAGAACUUCUUGAGUUUUACGCUUCUUUGUAGCAAAGAUGUCCAAGUUUUCUUUCAUUUUAAAUCUAUCAUCAGGAGGUACUCUACGACAAGAAUUUACAUCACCUUUUAAUCCCGCUAAGUGUUGUUGGACUCAAUUAAUACCACCUCUAUCGAAAGUCUUUCCACAAUACAAGCAAACAAGUUUUUUUUUUUUUUUUUUUUAAUUUCCAUUAUUACCAGCUUUUAAAACCUCUCUACAAUGGCCCCAUGCUAUAUCAGUUUGUCCUCUUGCACGAUUCUUUGUUGAAAAAGAACUAUGCAGUGUACUAUUAACACCAAUUAACUAUACAAAGAAAACAAGUUCAAUUACAAAGAUUUAAUAUUCACUAUUAAAUGACAUUGCAAUAGUGAUAAGAACCAAUUCAUAUGGGAAAUUUGUUGUCAAGUGUUAAGCUCAUAUCUAACAAGGAACUAUGUUAUACCUCCAUUAUCAACAGUGCUCGUAAUAACUUGCUACUAACUUUCUAUUAUGCCCCGAGUAAUGGAAUUUUUUUCUUUUUGGCAAAUUAUGCAUACUGAGUAACUUGUGAUCACAUGCAGGUUCUUGUUUGCUAGAUUAACAAAAUUCUGCACUAUCUUAGAUAGUUAUGGAGAGACGCUCAUUUAACACAUCUCAUAUUUCUGAGAGUGAUAAUGAUCGGGGAUGGAAUCAUGCAGAACAAUCUUACAUGCAUUUGAUAUAAAUAUUAACUUUACCUUCCAUGACACUAACUGCCUGCUUGUUAUAACAAAGCUAACAUUUACAAAUAAUUAUCUUAGAGUAUCUGCAAAUUGAUGCCAGUGACACCUGUGACUUAUUUAUAUAGAAAAUGAUUUCGCUACUCUUGUUAGGGGAGUUAAAGCAUUGAGUAAGUUAUUCUUCUGGGUAGGACCAUCCAUUGCAUCUCAAAUUCUAUGUCAAUGUCUCUAACAGGAACCAGCUCUAAGCAUCUUGACAAUAAAGAUCAGCAAUAUUUUAGUCUCUAACAGGUGCUGGUAAUAAGUAUUUUCGUCUCUAACGGGUACUCUUGAGACUACCAAUAUUUUAGCAAAAUCAACAGCAAAGCAGAAAAUGGUUCUACAAAAUCACCAAUCAAAUAAUUAACACCUCAAACUGAGUAGAUUUAAAGCCUUUCACCAAUCAAAAUUGAUAUAAGAUGAAAGACUAACCUUGAAUCUGUCUUCAACAGAUUUCAUGGUUCAAGAAAUACAUGGAAUGGACAAUGAAUGUACAUUAGUAAGAUGAUAAAAAUCUUUCCAAUUCUUGUAAACACUAACUCAAGCGAAUAUAAAGAAUAGCAAAUUAUUAUGUAAAUUUAAUUCCAAAUCCUAAAGCAAAGAAUCCGAAGCAGUCCACUGCAAUUCUGAAAACCAACUAUAUCUUGUUCUAAAAACAAGAUUCACCGUAGGAAUAUUUUUAUGCAAUUAUGCUUUGUAAGAAUCUUAAAUUGCACAAAAACAACAAUAUAUUGUUCUAAAAAUUUUGAAAUCCACCACAGGAAUAUUUUCAACUAAUCAAUCAAAAUCUAUUUCUACUGGCUUCAUACUAACCUCUUCUUCUUCCAUCUCUUAAGACUUCAAAUUGGAGAUUUGGAUUUUUUUGGGAGUGAUUAAGUAGCAAACGGUAGUGAAGCAGUCAGAUUUUGGAAUGAAGAAUAAGACUUUCCUAGGUAACGUGAAUUGGGGAUUUGGAAAACAAGGUUUUAAAGCAAAAGAAAUAACCCAGUUGGUUCAAUUGCAAAUGGGUCGGCAGUUGGGCUAAA
rnacentral:lncRNA from 1 species